rnacentral:rRNA from 1 species
GGGGAAUAUUGGACAAUGGGCGCAAGCCUGAUCCAGCCAUGCCGCGUGGGUGAAGAAGGCCUUCGGGUUGUAAAGCCCUUUUGUUGGGAAAGAAAAGCAGCCGGCCAAUACCCGGUUGUUCUGACGGUACCCAAAGAAUAAGCACCGGCUAACUUCGUGCCAGCAGCCGCGGUAAUACGAAGGGUGCAAGCGUUGUCCGGAAUUAUUGGGCGUAAAGAGCUCGUAGGCGGUUAGUCGCGUCUGCUGUGAAAACUCGAGGCUCAACCUCGGGCUUGCAGUGGGUACGGGCUGACUAGAGUGUGGCAGAGGGUAGUGGAAUUCCCGGUGUAGCAGUGAAAUGCGUAGAGAUCGGGAGGAACAUCAGUGGCGAAGGCGACUGCCUGGGCCAACACUGACACUGAGGCACGAAAGCGUGGGGAGCAAACA